rnacentral:misc_RNA from 1 species
CUGUUCACGCUCGAAGCGGCCGACAACCCCACGCUGUCAGCUGGCGGCAAGAUCGAGCGGAUCGGCAUCGCGCCCAGCCUGAUGGUCCGCUCAGCCGACGGCGAUAUCGUGCUGGAGCGCGACUGGCCGGACGGCGCANAACUGCUAAAGGACAUCUUCGCUUGGGCGGCGGAACGUCUGGGCGAUCGCCAGGUGAUCGCGAUU